AUCCAAACAAGACAAGAAUUUGAUUAUGAGAAUUUUCACCGCUAAAAUGAAGAUUACAAAGGAAUGAACCUGCUAUAAGAUAAGCAGAUUCUUUAUUCAUUAAUAAAGGGGAAAAAUAACAAGAAAAAUGGAUAUUCGAGAGGUUCACACUCUCCCAAGGAAUCUCCCAAAUUCUGGCUACUUGUAACAUGAUCCUUUCUCUUAUUUAUAGUUGGUUUUCCUUGCUAAUUGGUGGUGUAAUUGUGCUGUAAUUGCUGUAAUUGUGUACCAUUAAUGCUGUAAUCAUUCCAUUUGUGCUGUAAUUGUGCAUAUUGCCUUUGUGCUUUUGGUAAGUCACAUGGAUUGUGGGCCUAUCAUUACCUCCCCCCAUAAGUUUCACCUUGUCCUCAAGGUGAAAAGAAGGAAACUGUUGCUUAAUCAUGUCAUAAGAUUCCCAAGUUGCUUCAAGUGGUGGUAGUCCCUUCCAUUGUAUUAAAACAUCCAUGUCUCGAAUAUUGCUACCUAGGCCCGAUCGCACCCAAAGUAAUGUCUCUGGUUCAACCAACAUUUCCAACUCCUCAUUCAAUUGGCUAGGUACUUAUUUCACAGUUUGCACUGCUCCCUCUGCUUUGCAUAGUUGGGAUACAUGAAACACGGGAUAAAUAUUACACGACGGAGGAAGAAUUAGCUUAUAAGCAACCUGAACAACCCUCUGACCAACUACAAACUCUUUUGCAAGAAAUCCGGCCAUGGUCAUCUUGAAAGAGGGACGUUUCAACCCUUUGAAGUGGAUAGACCAACUUAGCCAGACAACAAUCACUAGUAUAGUAUCCAAAGCAACUCCAUAUCUAGUUGCCUCUACUGGCAAGAUGUCCAAUUUUUGAGCCUGAUGAGUUGUAAACAAUUGAUAGCUGGGUGCACCAUCGAUUAAAAAUAUCAUAUGGUCAAGAUCAAUUUGCCUCGAAAACUUUAUCAUCCUUGGAAGCUCCAUUUUUUACUCACCCCCAUUUUCGACCUCUAAGAGGUAUACUUCUUCUAAAUUAUCAGCUACCACCAACACUUGUAACCCUCGAUUUUCACAAUUAUGGCCAAGUGGAUUUUCCUCGUCACAAUGAAGGCAUAAACCAUUUCCACACUCUUUCAAAGAUCCGGAACAGUGAGUUGAUUGGGUGGUGGUGAUUGCUUUAGUUUAUCAAAUUUUGGAGUAAUGGAAACUAAGUUUUGGAUUGAAAAUGAAGGGGCUUGGUACGCUGUCUGGGGUGAAAAAUAAUAAGGGCUAGAAUUAACAGUUUGGCUGGAAGUGUUGUUAACAUUUGGGUGGUGGUUAUUGUUUUUAGGGGUAUAUGGGCCAGAGUUAGGUUGGGCUCUUUUUAGAUACUCUUUUUGGUCCAUAUCCCUUUGGGAUAACUUAAUAUUUUGGUCCAAACCAUGUAAUUUAAGCCUUUUAACUUCAGUUUCACCCAAAUGUUUCAGCCCAUUUUCGCCAUUCCCUCCCAAACCCAAUCUAUGAUUUCUUGUGUCGGCAUAUUCCUGACGGCAGGUGAUGGUGGUUUCGGCCAGAAUGACUCCCCCUUCUUUCUCCUUUCUCUCCCAAUCUUCAAUUUCUUCAAUUUUUGGUGCAAUUUCAAAAUUGAUGGUGGGCUCUGGCGAAGUGAUUGCGACCUCCUUUUUCUUCCUAUCCGACUCCUUCUGACGGCACUUAAUGAGGCGACUUACUCCAGCUUCCUCCAAUUUUGGGAAAAUUUUCGAAGUGAUGGUGAGUUCCGAUGAAUUUAAUACUGUCCCCUUCUCAUGCUUCCCUCGUUCCAGCCCAUUCCAUCUUCGCGCCAUCCUCUCUUUCAAAUCUCCCCAUGUUCGCAUUGGUAGUUUAUCCUCAAUUGUUUGGGCCAACUCCAACUCCAAAACCAAACCCAAUUGUUUGUUCAUAUGAAUUUCAGUUGUGUCUGCCAGCUUGUUACCUCCUACCAUUCCACGUGAAGAUGAACCAAAUGACUGGGAUCGUUUCUGUCUUUCUCCUUUCACAGCAACCCCCUGCCUCAUCCUUAUCAUGUUCCUAGAAUCCGGUGUGGUUGGUGUUGAAAUCCUUCUAAUGCUCUUCAUAAUCUGACAGGCAUAUGUAGCUUUAGACAAUGUAGUUUGUUGAUCUUCUGCCGUCACAUAUGGGUCAUGCAGCCCCUGAUUUUUAUUGUGAUGCCCAAUUGAUUUCUUCUCCCGCCAUCUAUGGUAUAAUCCUUUCCCUUGUAGCCUUGGUAUCAUGGCACCAGAUAGUAGUUUGAAAUUAGUGGAAUCUUGAUUUGGAAUUUGCAGAACUGAACUGAGAGCUUCACCUUCAAAACAUAGUGCCCCCAUCUCCAAUUUCUCCGCCUUUGUCAAUUGAUUUACCAGAGAAUAACGUUCUGCCCCGAAGAUCCAGUCAUCUAAAUUUUUUUCCAAGAACACAGGCAUCUCUAGUUUCCUUCCUUUGAGCUCGGGCCUCCACUUUUCCCCCAAGCCACCAUCAACGACCCGACUGUUUGUCUCUAUACCUGAGGAAUUUUCAGAAUAAAGAGCAUACUCUGAGUCUUUCCCUCCUCCUUGCUCCUUACAUUUUCUCUCCUUCUCCGCUUCCUUCCACUUUGUUCUCAUGAAGGUGAACUACUCCAGGAUGAUUUUCAUAUUUUUUUCAAUAUUUUGUACCCUGUGCAUUUCCACCUGCAUCUUAUCGAACCCAAUUUGUAUCUCCUCCAUCUGGCCCUGCAAUUUUUGGUGAACCCUUUCCAACUCUCCCACACGAUCCGAUAAAUUCCCCAUCCCGAUCGUAACGGCUCUUAUACUAAUUUGAUAGAUCCAAACAACACAAGAAUUUUAUUAUGAGAAUUUCCACCCCUAAAAUGAAGAUUACAAAGGAAUGAACCUGCUAUAAGAUAAGCAGAUUCUUUAUUCAAUAAUAAAGAGGAAAAAUAACAAGAAAAAUGGACAUUCGAGAGGUCCACACUCUCCCAAGGAAUCUCCCAAAUUCUGGCUGCUUGUAACAUGAUCCUUUCUCUUAUUUAUAGUUGGUUUUCCUUCCUAAUUGGUGGUAUAAUUG
rnacentral:lncRNA from 1 species